rnacentral:rRNA from 1 species
AGCUCCAGUAGCGUAUACUAAAGUUGUUGCAGUUAAAAAGCUCGUAGUCGGACUUCUGCGUAAUGGAAGACGGCCUGCCUCUCCCCCUUAAUUGGGUGGCAGAUGGCGGGAUCAGUCUCAUCCUUGCGCAUCCUGUCGCGAACUGCUUUGCUCUUAAUUGAGCGGAGCCAGGGAACGACUCAUUUACUUGGAGCAAUUCAAACCGCUCAAAGGAGACUUGUGUCCUGAAUGCUACAGCUUGGAAUAAUAAAAUAGGACUUUGGUCUUAUUUUGUUGGUUGUUCGAAGACCGAAGUAAUGAUCGAAAGGAGUGGUUGUGGACAUCCGUAUUCUAAAGCGAGCGGUGAAAUGCGUAGACCUUUGGAAGACGAACUGCAGCGAAAGCGUUUGUCAAAGACAUU